rnacentral:lncRNA from 1 species
GAACAAAGUGUUGUCAAAUAUAAGGUUGCUAUGGUAGCAGGCGACUCAGGGUUACAACAUUGAACCAUUCGUUCUACAAUGUGACAUCAGUGCAGUGCAGGAGGCGCUUCAAAAUUCAUGGCAGUGAACAUCAGAAGCACUUGCUACUUACUGCUGAUCAAGCGAUGAAAUGAAGAAAGCUAUUUGGAAGAUGUUCAUUUCACAUAAGAAUGAAUAAUCUAAAGAUUUGAUGCAUCAAUCCAGGACAUACUAGGUAUGGCCAGGAUGUUUUGGGCUGUGCAGGUGCUUCCUGUAUUCACAUGUGGAGCCUGGGAGGCUGACGAGCUCACUCACAGAGCCUGAGGUAUUCUAUGGAAACUCCAAAUUGAAUGUGACAAAUCUUCCUGGGUAUGCAUUUUGAGUGAAGGUUUGGGAAAAGAAAGCUUUAAAAACUGUUAAACACAGAUAUAAAUGAAAAAAAAA